rnacentral:rRNA from 1 species
GACGAACGCUGGCGGCGUGCUUAACACAUGCAAGUCGAACGGAAAGGCCAUGCUUUUGUGGGCUGCUCGAGAGGCUAUGGGGUGCGUAACACGUGAGUACCCUGACCUAGCCUUUCGGGUAGCUUCAGGUAACUAGGGCUAAUACCGGAUAGGAGCUCCUGCUGCUUUGUGGGGCUUGGAAAUUUUCGGCGGUUUGGGAUGGACCCGCGGCUUAUCAGCUUGUUGGUGGGGUAGUUGCUUCGCAAGGCUUCGACGGAUCGCCGGCCUGAGAGGGUGACCGGGCACAUUGGGACUGAGGUACGACCCAGACUGCUACGGGGGGCAUCGGUGGGAAAUAUAGCACAAUGGGCGGAAGCCGGAUGCAACGACGCCGCGUGGGGGAUGACGGUCUUCGGGGAAGAAAGCGCUUGAGCGUGGGACGAAGCGAGUGUGACGGUAAUGGAUAAAGAAGCACCGGCUAACUACGUG